AACCCAGGGAACUGAAACAUCUAAGUACCUGGAGGAAAGGACAUCAACAGAGACUCCGCUAGUAGUGGCGAGCGAACGCGGAUCAGGCCAGUGCCUCAGUGAAGAUAAGUGGAACCUUCUGGAAAGUUGGGCCGUAGCGGGUGAUAGCCCCGUACACGUAAUGCGGAUCUGAGGCCUCGAGUAGGGCGGGACACGUGAAAUCCUGUUCGAACAUGGGGGGACCACCCUCCAAGCCUAAGUACUCCUUACCGACCGAUAGCGAACCAGUACCGUGAGGGAAAGGUGAAAAGCACCCCGACAAGGGGAGUGAAAUAGACCUGAAACCGAAUGCCUACAAACAGUCGGAGCCCGCAAGGGUGACGGCGUACCUUUUGUAUAAUGGGUCUGCGACUUAGUCUGACGAGCAAGCUUAAGGCGAUAGCUGUACAGGCUAGUCUUGUCCAAAAGUUCACAUCGACGACAAGGCUCGGCACCUCGAUGUCGGCUCAUCGCAUCCUGGGGCUGGAUAAGGUCCCAAGGGUUGGCUGUUCG
rnacentral:rRNA from 1 species